CCCGCACCUCCACGCCCAUCCCCUCCAAAUGCUCUAUCGGUAGCGCGUCUCAGCCUUGCACCGCCAUCUUACCUUGCGCCGCCGUCGCACCGAACCUCCAUUGCACUGAACUUCCAUCGCCGCGAAACUCUGUCACACCCCUUCCCGGCUCUUCUCUGUGUGUUGCUGGUUCCCUUUCGAACCCUAAUAUGCAUUUCUCUGCCACCGUCUUCGUCGCCUCCGUCCUUAUCCUCUUCACCUUCUCCUGCGUUCACUCUUUCUACCUUCCCGGCGUCGCUCCUCAAGAUUUUCAAACCUAGCAGCAGGAGAUAACAAUUACAAUGAUCCAUACUUUCGUUUGAAUUUUGAAGAAAUUUGAUGGUGCAUGCAGUAGCUGGGAUUGAUAAACCCUAGGAUUGUGAUUUAAUUAGAGCACUUGUGGAAGCACUCUCUGCAUCAUACACCAUUAUCCUAGUAUUUUCAAAGCUAUAUCUCCUCACUAUAUUUUCCAUUUCUUUUGGAGAAAUGGAAAAGUUGGCUGGCUU